UUUGUAAGAACACUACCAUCCAUCAAAGCGUUUUGUAUGAACACUACCAUCCAUCAAAGCAUUUUGUAUGAACUCUACCAUCCAUCAAAGCAUUUUGUAUGAACUCUACCAUCCAUCAAAGCGUUUUGUAAGAACACUACCAUCCAUCAAAGCGUUUUGUAUGAACACUACCAUCCAUCAAAGCAUUUUGUAUGAACUCUACCAUCCAUCAAAGCGUUUUGUAUGAACUACCAUCCAUCAAAGCGUUUUGUAAGAACACUACCAUCCAUCAAAGCAUUUUGUAUGAACUCUACCAUCCAUCAAAGCAUUUUGUAUGAACUCUACCAUCCAUCAAAGCGUUUUGUAUGAACUACCAUCCAUCAAAGCGUUUUGUAAGAACACUACCAUCCAUCAAAGCAUUUUGUAUGAACUCUACCAUCCAUCAAAGCAUUUUGUAUGAACUCUACCAUCCAUCAAAGCGUUUUGUAUGAACACUACCAUCCAUCAAAGCGUUUUGUAUGAACUACCAUCCAUCAAAGCAUUUUAUAUGAACUCUACCAUCCAUCAAAGCGUUUUGUAUGAACACUACCAUCCAUCAAAGCAUUUUGUAUGAACACUACCAUCCAUCAAAGCAUUUUGUAUGAACUCUACCAUCCAUCAAAGCGUUUUGUACGAACACUACCAUCCAUCAAAGCGUUUUGAAUGAACUCUACCAUCCAUCAAAGCGUUUUGUAUGAACACUACCAUCCAUCAAAGCGUUUUGUAUGAACUCUACCAUCCAUCAAAGCGUUUUGUAUGAACUCUACCAUCCAUCAAAGCGUUUUGUAUGAACACUACCAUCCAUCAAAGCGUUUUGUAUGAACUACCAUCCAUCAAAGCAUUUUGUAUGAACUCUACCAUCCAUCAAAGCGUUUUGUAUGAACUACCAUCCGUCAAAGCAUUUUAUACGAACACUACCAUCCAUCAAAGCAUUUUGUACGAACACUACCAUCCGUCAAAGCGUUUUGUAGGAACUCUACCCUCCAUCAAAGCGUUUUGUAGGAACUCUACCGUCAGUCAAAGCGUUAUGUGUGUGUGCACAUGCUAGGUAACAGUAUUUCUGCACCCUUCACUUCUCUUCUUACUGCCUCUCUCCCAGUGCCCUCAGCCUCUCACUCGGGUCUUGAUUUAAAAAGAUGAAAAGAGGAGAGCAGAAGAAGUGUCUAGCUCACAGAAAUCUGAAUGGGGGGUAUUUGGUUUUGAAUCGUCUCAAUCAUGAUGUGGAGGGUUCAGUCUUAUCAAAGUCAGUCCCUAAGCUGGGGUUGGUUAGGAGGUUGCCAUUUAGCCAACUGCAGGGGGUGUCUUUGAGAAACUGCUGGGGUUGCAUAGUGGGGGAAGAUUUAGUCCAAGGGGGCAGUUAAAAUACUGUGGACGGCAGUUCACACAGAUGCACCUGUUCAAUCAAGUAAUGGAACAGGUGCUCAAGCAUUAUAUAUUCACACACACACACACACACACACACACACACACACACACACACUAGUGUUGCAUGGUAUACUAAAACUUGAAUUUUAUACCAAAACUCGAUUCUAGAACAUGAAAAAAAUAAAUGUAUCUCACAUCAUAUAAGGAUUUCGAGGAUCAAAUCUGUCUAGUCGUUUGUCUGAAUCUUCUCAAGGGGGCAGUAGCUAGCCAGGCUGUGCUGACACAGCGCAAGCCACUUUUGAGAAGCAAGCAAGAAGAGAUAGAAAAUGCAGACAGCAUGGCUUUUUCAAACACAAACUUCAUAGCUCCACGCCCGUUGCUUGUUAACCAAACUGUCUGCAGAAGCAAGCUAUGAGAAUACUUUAAUUACAGAGCAGGGCCCAGAUUCACAAAACCUUUUUAAGAAUACAUUUCUUCUUAACAUCCAUUUUUCCUUAACUAUAGAUUUAAGAAGAAAGA
ensembl:lncRNA